rnacentral:rRNA from 5 species
UAGGGUGAUUAUACCGGAGGUGUCCCACCCGUUCCCAUUCCGAACACGGCAGUGAAAUCCUCCAAGGCCGAUGAUAGUGGGUUUUCCCGCGAAAGUAGGUCGUCGCCCGAU